rnacentral:rRNA from 1 species
AACGAACGCUGGCGGCAGGCCUAACACAUGCAAGUCGAGCGGACCUUUCGGGGUCAGCGGCGGACGGGUGAGUAACGCGUGGGAAUAUGCCCUUCUCUACGGAAUAGUCCUGGGAAACUGGGGGUAAUACCGAAAAGGCCCUUUGGGGGAAAGAUUUAUCGGGGAAGGAUUAGCCCGCGUUGGAUUAGGUAGUUGGUGGGGUAAUGGCCUACCAAGCCGACGAUCCAUAGCUGGUUUGAGAGGAUGAUCAGCCACACUGGGACUGAGACACGGCCCAGACUCCUACGGGAGGCAGCAGUGGGGAAUCUUAGACAAUGGGGGCAACCCUGAUCUAGCCAUGCCGCGUGAGUGAUGAAGGCCUUAGGGUUGUAAAGCUCUUUCAGCUGGGAAGAUAAUGACGGUACCAGCAGAAGAAGCCCAGGCUAACUCCGUG